rnacentral:lncRNA from 10 species
UUUGUUUUAACCCAACACAUGGUUUUUAAGAAUGACUCUAGACCUAUCUUGUCUCUUACUGUAUACUAGCAAAUGGAAAGAGGCAUAAAUGAACACAUUUGAAGAAAAAAAAGAAAAUGACAAGCUUAAUAGGGAAGACUGAUCCAACAUAAAGUGAAUGAUUGAGGCAACAGGAGUGACAGGACCUCAUGACUCUUGGCAUCCAGAAGGCUGGUGUGGGCUCUUUCUCAUAGCAGCUAGGAAGAGAGGGAACAGAAGCUUGAAAGGCUGCCUGAGGCCUAGACCUAGAAUUGGACCAGUGCAAUUCUGCCACAUUCUUUUAAACAAAGCAAGUUACAAGGCUAGCCUAAAUCCAAGAAGGAAAAUAGACUUCACCUCUUGACAGAAGAAGCUGCAAUGUCACACUGCAAAGUGCAUGAUAAAUAAGAACUGAACUAGAAACUUCUGUAAUCACUCAAUCACAUUCCUCCACCAUUAUUCCAAAAAUAUUUGCUCUACACUUCUUUUCAAUGUCCAUACCCUGAUGAAGCCAAAUGAAGUUUGUUGACCAACUUACUUACAACUUACAACCAGCAGAGAAAGCCAGGUUAGAAUCCAAAGUCAAGAAGCAAGACAAAAGAGAGAGAUUGUCAUAAUUCCCAGUUUAUUAUUUGUGUCUUCAGUGUCAACAAGACCAAAAUAAAGCUUCUCCACGCUACCAGCUUUGAAAUGAGAAUUCUGUUCCCUUUAUGUUUGCUUGUCUAUACUUCUAUUAGAUUGAACUACAUGAAAUUGCCAUUUUUUUGGUAAAAUAUGGUCAAAUGUUGGCAAUUUAAGAUGUCUUACCUGUAAUUUGUAAAGUAGACUUGAAAAAAAUGUAGACUUGAAAAAAAAUCAUACUUUGAUUCUUUGGGAAAUGAUGGGAAGUUUUUAGAAUAACCAUACACAGACAUUUUUAAAUAAA